AUUUUGUAUUUAUUUAUUUUUUGAGAUGGAGUCUCACUCUGUCGCCCAGGCUGGAGUGCAGUGGCGCGAUCUCGGCUCACUGCAACCUCCACCUCCCAGGUUCAAGGGAUUCUCCUGCCUCAGCCUCCCGAGUAGCUUAGAUUACAGGCAUGUGCCACCACACCUGGCUAAUUUUUUGUAUUUUUAGUAGAGAUGGGGUUUUGCCAAGUUGGCCAGGCUGGUCUCAAACUCCUGAUCUCAGGUGAUCCACCCACCUCGGCCUCCCAAAGUGCUGGGAUUACAGGCAUGAGCCACCGAACCCAGCCAAUAUAUACAGUUUUAAAAAUCAACGUUGUUUUACUCACCUCAUAACAUGGUUAAGUCAGCAUGAUGCCUUUUUUGGAUUGCGUUUAAAGAGCUGUUUCAGGGAAUAUUCUCCAGGCUGUGCUUCACGUCAAGAAAAAUGUAGGGCAUACUGACUGAUGGCGGUAGGCGGGAAUCCAGGAGAUAAUGAGGAGAAUGAACUGGGUGUUCACUUUACCAGCUAUUAAAAACCGUAGCAAACCAUCACCUACCAAUGAUGAUAGUGUGCCAUGAAUCUGAGAGUUUGGUCAAACCAGUGUUACAUAUUUAAGAAUUGUACCUGCCAUCACCACUACCCUGCACCAUGUGCCAGAGCUGAGAGCUGCGUGUGAGUCUCAAGGUAGGAUAUCCUCUUCCAGUUUCAGUUUGACUGAGUGCUUUUCAGUGUUUGUACCAUGAAUUUGGGGCCUUUUUAAAUUUCAUGUCUACGUUAUUUUCUUCCCUAG
rnacentral:lncRNA from 1 species